rnacentral:rRNA from 1 species
GACGAACGCUGGCGGCGUGCUUAACACAUGCAAGUCGAACGGAAAGGCCCUGCUUUUGUGGGGUGCUCGAGUGGCGAACGGGUGAGUAACACGUGAGUAACCUGCCCUUGACUUUGGGAUAACUUCAGGAAACUGGGGCUAAUACCGGAUAGGAGCUCCUGCUGCAUGGUGGGGGUUGGAAAGUUUCGGCGGUUGGGGAUGGACUCGCGGCUUAUCAGCUUGUUGGUGGGGUAGUGGCUUACCAAGGCUUUGACGGGUAGCCGGCCUGAGAGGGUGACCGGCCACAUUGGGACGGGGAUACGGCCCGGACUCCUACGGGGGGCAGCGGUGGGGAAUAUUGCACAAGGGGCGGAGGCCGGAUGCAGCAACGCCGCGUGCGGAAGGACGGCCUUCGGGUUGUAAACGGCUUUCGCCUGUGACGAGGCGUAGGUAACGGAAAUGGUGAAAGAGGCACCGGCUAACUACGU